rnacentral:rRNA from 1 species
GUUGUUUAGUUGAAAAUCAAUUAAAUAAUUUUUGAUUUUGAGUAGUAUUGACUUCAUCAGCUUGCUGCUUUCUUUUCGGAAAUUAUUUAAUGCACUUUUCAGUUAACAAGUCAACAUCAAUUUCUUUUGUUGUAAAAGGGUAAGAGGAAGGUGGCUUACAUUUCGGUGUAAGUGUUUAUAGCCUUUUACCUCUGCAAUCGGAGAGAUUGAGGUCAGCAGCGUAGACUCUUCGGGGUUAGAUACGCUUGUGCUAAGCUAUAGCCUUGUAUAGACAACUUGUUGACUAUGCUCAGUCAUGUAGCUUACUCGCUUGUAGUAUUUUACCUAC